rnacentral:rRNA from 1 species
CACGUAGGGCGCGAGCGUUGUCCGGAAUUAUUGGGCGUAAAGAGCUCGUAGGUGGUUUGUUACGUCCGCCGUGAAAACCUAGGGCUUAACCCUGGGCUUGCAGUGGAUACGGGCAGACUAGAGGUAGGUAGGGGAGAAUGGAAUUCCUGGUGUAGCGGUGAAAUGCGCAGAUAUCAGGAGGAACACCGGUGGCGAAGGCGGUUCUCUGGGCCUUACCUGACACUGAGGAGCGAAAGCGUGGGGAGCGAACAGG